rnacentral:rRNA from 1 species
CAUCGAUGAAGAACGCAGCGAAAUGCGAUAAGUAAUGUGAAUUGCAGAAUUCAGUGAAUCAUCGAAUCUUUGAACGCACAUUGCGCCCGCCAGUAUUCUGGCGGGCAUGCCUGUUCGAGCGUCAUUUCAACCAUCAAGCCCCCGGCUUGUGUUGGGGACCUGCGGCUGCCGCAGGCCCUGAAAACCAGUGGCGGGCUCGCUAGUCACUCCGAGCGUAGUAAUACAUCUCGCUCAGGGCGUGCUGCGGGUUCCGGCCGUUAAAAGCCUUAUUUACCCAAGGUUGACCUCGGAUCAGGUAGGAAGACCCGCUGAACUUAAGCAUAUCAAUAAGCGGAGGAA